rnacentral:rRNA from 1 species
CACGUAGGGGGCGAGCGUUGUCCGGAAUCAUUGGGCGUAAAGAGCGUGUAGGCGGCCCGAUAAGUCCGCCGUGAAAGUCCAGGGCUCAACCCUGGGAUGCCGGUGGAUACUGCUGGGCCAGAGUCCGGAAGAGGAGAGUGGAAUUCCUGGUGUGAGCGGUGAAAUGCGCAGAUAUCAGGAAGAACACCCGUGGCGAAGGCGGCCGACUGGGCCGACCCUGACGCUGAGGCGCGAAGGCGUGGGGAGCGAACGGG